CGCGUAGGUAACCUGCCUGGUAGCGGGGGAUAACUAUUGGAAACGAUAGCUAAUACCGCAUAAAAUUGAUUAUUGCAUGAUAGUCAAUUAAAAGGUGCAAUUGCACCACUACCAGAUGGACCUGCGUUGUAUUAGCUAGUUGGUGAGGUAAAGGCUCACCAAGGCAACGAUACAUAGCCGACCUGAGAGGGUGAUCGGCCACACUGGGACUGAGACACGGCCCAG
rnacentral:rRNA from 1 species